CGCAACCCUUGCGUGAGAGAUGCUCAGCUGCUCCUCUCUCUGCGGCUUGCAGGGGACUAACCCCCCUCUGCCCCUCUCUGGGGUUGGAAAUACUUCUGGGCAGCCUCUCUUCUCCAAUCCUGAGUGAGAUGCUGCUCCAGAAGUGUGGUGAAUGUUUCUCUUCCCUUCCAGUCUCCAGCUGCAGCCCUGCCAGCCCUCCAUGCUAACCAUGACCAAAAGUCCAGGGGCAGGACGCUGCCUGCCAGACCCGAUGCCCAGGAUAUUCAGUGUCCUGGGUGAUAUUUAGUCAGAGAAGAAACUCAAGGAGACAGAAGCCUCAAGGAGACAGAGUGGUAGGUGAGUGGAAGUCAGAAGACAUGUACCGUAGUCCAAAUUUGCUGGGACAUGGCCAGUAACCAGGAGGAGGAUGAAAAGACUAAAAUAGGCCUGCAGAACCAUACUUGAGCUGAUGCUCGGGCCAAAGCCUGUGAAGAAAGUUCAGUUUCCUUUGUGGCCAGCAACAAUUUGAAAGUUACAAGGUGCAACGGAGAGGUGUAAGGCAGAGGUGGGCAAGUGGGGUGAAGAGCCUGUAGGCAUGGGCCUACUACCUGGACCCCAGGAGGGAAUUUGCUGGAGCACUUGGCCAGCAACCAAGAAGAAAGCCUCCACAUUUGUGGACAGCAACAAACCUGUACUUACAAUUCCAUAAUAUGCUCAUUAGCCAAUAGGGCCAGCAACCAGGAGGAGGGCUAGAAUAAUAUAAAAUGGAUCUGCAGAACUUGGACAACUCUUACCAUACUUGAGCUGAUGCUCGGGCCAAAGCUUGCAAAGAAAGCCUCCGUAAUUCAAGUAGUACACAGAAGAGAAGCCUCAGCAGUACUUGUAGCCAGCAACCAGGAGGAGGGUGAGAAUAAUACAAAAUGGACCUGCAGAACUUGUGCAACAAUUCAAGUUGACAGAAGAGAAACCCUAGCAGUACUAGUGCCCAUAACAAAUUAAAAUAUUAAAAUGUGUAA